UCGGGAAUUUUGGGCAAUGGACGAAAGCCUGACCCAGCAACGCCGCGUGAAGGAUGAAGUAUUUCGGUAUGUAAACUUCGAAAGAAUAGGAAGAAUAAAUGACGGUACUAUUUAUAAGGUCCGGCUAACUACGUGCCAGCAGCCGCGGUAAUACGUAGGGACCAAGCGUUGUUCGGAUUUACUGGGCGUAAAGGGCGCGUAGGCGGUCGUAUAAGUCGGAUGUGAAAGCCCUUGGCUCAACCAAGGAACUGCGUCCAAUACUGUACGGCUUGAGGCUGGUAGGGGGUAGCGGAAUUCCCGGUGUAGCGGUGAAAUGCGUAGAUAUCGGGAGGAACAUCAGUGGCGAAGGCGGCCCUCUGGUCCAGUACUGACACUCAAGUGCGAAAGCGUGGGGAGCAAACAGGAUUAGAUACCCAGGUAGUCCCUGAGCGGGCUGGCAAGGCGCAU
rnacentral:rRNA from 1 species